rnacentral:rRNA from 1 species
AUCGGUAUGGGAUAGGGUCGCGUCCUAUCAGCUUGAUGGCGGGGUAACGGCCCACCAUGGCUUCGACGGGUAGCCGGCCUGAGAGGGCGACCGGCCACAUUGGGACUGAGAUACGGCCCAGACUCCUACGGGAGGCAGCAGUGGGGAAUAUUGCACAAUGGGCGCAAGCCUGAUGCAGCGACGCCGCGUGCGGGAUGACGGCCUUCGGGUUGUAAACCGCUUUUGACUGGGAGCAAGCCCUUCGGGGUGAGUGUACCUUUCGAAUAAGCACCGGCUAACUACGUGCCAGCAGCCGCGGUAAUACGUAGGGUGCAAGCGUUAUCCGGAAUUAUUGGGCGUAAAGGGCUCGUAGGCGGUUCGUCGCGUCCGGUGUGAAAGUCCAUCGCUUAACGGUGGAUCCGCGCCGGGUACGGGCGGG